UACGUAGGGGGCAAGCGUUGUCCGGAAUCAUUGGGCGUAAAGGGCGCGUAGGCGGCUUCUUAAGCGGGCUGUGAAAGCCCGGGGCUCAACCCCGGGUCGGCCGUGCGAACUGGGAAGCUCGAGCCCACUAGAGGCAGGCGGAAUUCCGGGUGUAGCGGUGGAAUGCGUAGAGAUCCGGAAGAACACCGGUGGCGAAGGCGGCCUGCUGGGGUGGAGCUGACGCUGAGGCGCGACAGCGUGGGGAGCAAACAGG
rnacentral:rRNA from 1 species